AUACGGAAGGUGCGAGCGUUAUCCGGAUUCAUUGGGUUUAAAGGGAGCGUAGGCGGAGCGCCAAGUCAGCUGUGAAAUCCCGCGGCUCAACCGUGGAACUGCAGUUGAAACUGGCGCCCUUGAGUGCACAUGAGGAUGGCGGAAUUCGUGGUGUAGCGGUGAAAUGCUUAGAUAUGCCACAGAACGCCGAUAGCGGAGGCGGCUCGCCAGGCCUGCAUUGACGCUUGGGCACGAAAGCGUGGGGAUCGAACAGGAUUAGAUACCCUGGUAGUCCACGCCGUAAACGAUGGGCGCUCGUCGUCGGCGACAGACAGUCGGCGGCCAAGCGAAAGCGAUAAGCGCCCCACCUGGGGAGUACGGUCGCAAGGCUGAAACUCAAAGGAAUUGGCGGG
rnacentral:rRNA from 1 species